AGCUCCAAUAGCGUAUAUUAAAGUUGUUGCAGUUAAAAAGCUCGUAGUUGGAUUUCGGACUGGUGCAGCACGGUCUGCCGCAAGGUUUGUUUACUGUGUUGCACUGUCUUCUUCUCAAAAUCCUGUUGUGCACUUGACUGUGUGCAGCGAGCGAGUUUGAGACGUUUACUUUGAAAAAAUUAGAGUGUUCAAAGCAGGCAUCAUUUUUGCCCGAAUACAUGAGCAUGGAAUAAUGGAAUAGGACUACGGUCUUAUUUUGUUGGUUUCUGAGACCGAAGUAAUGAUUAAGAGGGACAAUUGGGGGCAUCCGUAUUUCGUUGUCAGAGGUGAAAUUCUUGGAUUUACGAAAGACGAACAACUGCGAAAGCAUUUGCCAAGAGUGUUUUCAUUAAUCAAGAAC
rnacentral:rRNA from 1 species